rnacentral:rRNA from 1 species
GGCGAACGCUGGCGGCGUGCUUAACACAUGCAAGUCGAGCGGUAAGGCCCCUUCGGGGGUACACGAGCGGCGAACGGGUGAGUAACACGUGAGCAAUCUGCCCAUCACAUCGGGAUAACUCCGGGAAACCGAAGCUAAUACCGAAUACGACCACCUCCGGCAUCGGAUGGUGGUGGAAAGUUCCGGCGGUGAUGGAUGAGCUCGCGGCCUAUCAGCUUGUUGGUGGGGUAACGGCCCACCAAGGCUUCGACGGGUAGCCGGCCUGAGAGGGUGACCGGCCACACUGGGACUGAGACACGGCCCAGACUCCUACGGGAGGCAGCAGUGGGGAAUAUUGGACAAUGGGCGAAAGCCUGAUCCAGCAACGCCGCGUGAGGGAUGACGGCCUUCGGGUUGUAAACCUCUUUCAGCAGGGACGAAGCGCAAGUGACGGUACCUGCAGAAGAAGCACCGGCCAACUACGUG